GGGCAGUUUGACUGGUACGGUCGCCUCCUAAACGGUAACGGAGGCGCCCAAAGGUCCCCUCAGCACGGUUGGAAACCGUGCGGCGAGUGCAAGGGCAUAAGGGGGCUUGACUGCGAGGCCUACAAGCCGAGCAGGGGCGAAAGCCGGGCCUAGUGAUCCUACGGCGGCAAGUGGAAGCGCCGUGGCUUAACGGAUAAAAGCUACCCCGGGGAUAACAGGCUAAUAGGGCCCAAGAGUCCACAUCGACGGCCCUGUUUGGCACCUCGAUGUCGGCUCAUCUCAUCCUGGGGCUGUAGUAGGUCCCAAGGGUUGGGCUGUUCGCCCAUUAAAGAGGUACGUGAGCUGGGUUCAGAACGUAGGAGCACUGCGUCCCUCGGGAGCAAUCCCGAGGUGCUCACCGGCUGAUAUCGGUGAAACCCUCGCAGAGGGGCCGAACGCUUCUGCAGGGCAACACCGAGGGAAGAUCGGGGGCUUGCGUGAAGGAGACGUUGAUCGGAACGGUGCUGGGUGACGGAUACCUUGAGCCUCACGGCCGAGGUGCUCGUCUCCAGGUGAACCACUCGGUUCGCCUGAAGGCGUACGUCCUGCCAGAGUUGCGGUACAAGCUCCCGUUCCCCGUAACGACUGAGGGCAUGAGGGCCCGAGAUAGGCGUCCGGCCGAAGCUGGCCACUCUACGGCGCCUAUCAUACGCCGGCUCCUCCGAUCCUUCCGGAGGAUGGAGCUAUAGUCUGUGCCCCUGGAAACAGGGGACUCACACGCGUGAGACAGUUCGGUCCCUAUCCACCGCGGGCGCAGGAGACUUGAGGGGAGCUGCUCCUAGUACGAGAGGACCGGAGUGGACGGACCUCUGGUGUACCGGUUGUCCUGCCAAGGGCACGCGCCGGGUAGCCAUGUCCGGACGGGAUAAGCGCUGAAAGCAUCUAAGCGCGAAGCCCACCCCAAGACGAGGUCUCCCACCGGGUCAACCGGGUAAGCCCCCUGGGAGAUGACCAGGUUGAUAGGCCGGAGGUGUAAGCGCUGAGAGGCGUUGAGCCUACCGGUACUAAUCGGGCGAGGGCUUGAGCCC
rnacentral:rRNA from 1 species